rnacentral:lncRNA from 1 species
AUGGCGGGCAGACUGCACUGCAUGGGCAAGAGCACUCUUGGCCUGAAAUCAAAUUAUAACCACGUCUCCAUAGAGGAUCCUGUUGGGGAAUCCUUUUCUGCAGAUCCUGAUGCCUUCCAGCACACCGUUACAGCGCAGCUGGUGCAUGACCAGAGGAUGCUCCAUGGACCCAGGAGUCUUGGUCUCAUUGGGGAUGAUGCAGCGCACAAAAUGAGGGUGAGUAGACCUCAGAUUGGUCAUCAGCUUGUUCAGGUUUUCCUGUAUGUGCAAAGCAAAAAAAAGUGCUUCAUGUUUCAUCUUUGGGAAGAACACCAUAAAGAUAAACCAGUGACACCAAGCUUCAAAACAUGUAUCUGAAUGAAUAAGUUGAUCCAUUAGAAUUAGUGAUUGUAAUCAUAAUAAUCAUCAUCUUCAUAAUCUUACCCUGUGUAAUGCUGAGACCGUUUGGAAAGAUGAACCUUUCUUUUUGCUACCUUUGCCUUUUCCACCAGUUUCUUGAAUUAAAAUAAAACAUGGAUCAUUGGUUUCACAUCAUUCCAACCAUCGAUGAUGAAAUGUAGAAAAGCACAAUUCUUUUUUAGGUAAAGCCUCUUAAUUCUGCAGUUGUGCAAAGGAAAAAGUCUUUGACUCUCUUCAAAAGACAAACCUGCGUCAGCUCCAGCAUAAUUAGCAAAGAGGAUGGAUAAGAGUUUGAGAUUAGACUUCUGGUAGAGUCCAACCACCGUCUCAUUCAGAGGGUCCUUGUUCUUCACCAGCCAGUUGUUGAUGUUGUAAUCAACAGUUCCAGCGUAGUGCAUCAGGGCAAAAUGGGCCUCUGGUCUCCCUUUGAUAAUCCUGGGCUUCUGGAAGUUGGAAGAUUUACCCAGAUGGUGGUCGUAGAGUUUAGCUUUAAAGGUGGCAUCAGAUGCUUUGGGAAACAUGCACUCCUCUUCAAGGAUGGACAUGAUACCCAUGGGCUGUGAAAAGGAACAGCAUUGGUAUUUUACUUCUCUUCUCUUUUCCUUUCUUUGACUCAAAUGUAAACACAUCUCACCUUUUCAAUCAGGUCAAUACAGGCCUGCAGGUCCAUACCAAAAUCAAUGAAAGUCCACUCAAUCCCUUCCUUCUUGUACUCUUCCUGCUCCAGCACAAACAUGUGGUGGUUGAAGAACUGCUGCAGCUUUUCAUUGGUGAAGUUGAUGCACAUCUGUUCGAAUGUGUUGAACUAAAAAAAGAUCAAGAAUUAGAGCAAAGCAAUUUUGCCAAAUUAUAACUAAGAAAUCAUAAUAUCACAUAUUCAUUAAAGAAAUUAUUUCAGAGUUUAGAGCAUAUAUCUACAGAAAACUCACAUCAAAGAUUUCAAAUCCAGCGAUGUCCAGCACCCCAAUGAAGUACUGGCGGGCCUGCUUGGUGUCCAGGGACUGGUUAAUUCUCACCACCAUCCACAAGAACAUCUUCUCAUACACUGACUUAGACAGUGCACCAAUAGAGUAGUUCACCUUGGGAUAAAAUAAUUAUAAAAACGUGUAUUAUCAUCAAAGUAUCUUCAUGUAAACAUUUUUAUAUUUCGGUUUUGAAGGCAGACCUGGGCAACAUUUUGUCCCUUGGUGACCCACUCGUUUCCAACUUUGACCCUUGGGUGACAGAGGCCUUUGAUGAGGUCUGCAGAGUUCAGGCCCAUCAGAUAUGCUGAUUUGUCAGCAUCUGGAACAGGAAAGUGAAUAUUGUGACUGUGUCGACUGAGGCCAGAACCUCACUCAAACCUGACCAACAGAUCUUCUCUCACCUUCAGUUCCAUCGGCCUCUGCCUGCUCCUCUCGCUGCUUCUGCUUGAACUUCAUGUUGCCGUAGUGCAUGAUGGCACCAAUCAACUUGUAAAUACUGUUUUUUUCUUCUUGGGUAAAGCCCAGAACACCAAAAGCAUCCUGGUGCGAUACAUUUUUUAAAAAGCUGUAUGUUUUAUUCAUUUUUCAAAUCUCUAAAUCUGUUUACUGCACUUACAUCCGUAGCCAUCAGCUCUUCAGAAUCAUUGAUGGAAGCUACUGUUGUCUCUCCUUGGGAGAUGAAGGCAUAGUCGUAGGGAUUGUUGGUGAUCAGCAACAUUUCUGCAAGAGUAGAUUAAAUUGAAAUGUAUAAUUUUUGACCAAAUUGACAGCACUGCACAAUAAUCAUUGUGGUCGAGAUGUGAUGAACAUACCCAGAAGUUCUGGCUUUGCCUGAGACAAGAUCUGGUAGAAAAUGUGGUAGUCCCUCUCAGCUUUGAGCUGGAAGGUCACGCGAGACUUUUCCAGCAGGUCUGCCAAAGGAAAAGGUUUUUUAGGGAAUAGUGCUGUGGUUCUGCACUGUGUCUACAUGUCUCUUUCUGGCUGGAUUGCUUGUUGUAUCAACUCCAAAAACCUCACUCACUUACUCACUCCUUUGUCUGUCUUUACAAACAUGUGUUUCAGUGUUUUCAUCUGACACCGGUGAUUUCUUUAACUUACAAGUCUCAAUGUCUGCGGAGGCCAGUUUUCCUCUGUUGUCAAAAUGAAUUCGGAUGAAUUUACCCUAGAAUGAAAUGUUGUAUAUAUUUGCAUCACUAAUGAUUAAUGUCUUAUAUCUGUAGCUUUCAGUGGUCAUAAAGAUGCUCACAAAUCUGGAGGAGUUGUCAUUCCUGAUGGUUUUGGCGUUCCCAAAGGCCUCCAGAGCAGGAUUGGCCUGGAUGAUUUGAUCCUCCAGGGUACCCUAAUAAAACAUAAACAAGCAAGCAGCUUUUAAAAUCCAGCUACUUCAGUUCUGCAUUAAAAAUGUCCUCUUGAGAUUCCUCCAAUAAUCUUUUCAUAGCCUGUUAAUAUAUCCAUAAAUAUUAUCAAGCAUUAAUAUCAGUUCCAGAUCCAUCUAUGGCUGAUACCUAAAUGUCACAGAAACACACAAAUGAAACCAUAAAGCCAUACAUCCAGAUUUGUUUAAUGAAUGUUUUCAUUGCAAACCUUCUUCUCAGCGGAUGCAUCUUUCUUCCCACUCGGAACAGCAGCGAUGCUGGCAAAGUACUGAAUGACUCGCUUGGUGUUAACAGUCUUUCCAGCACCAGAUUCUCCACUGAUUGGAAGACACAGUAAAAGUCUUUGUAUUCACCCAGACGCCCAACAACUCGGUCACAGACUGAUUUGUUGAUUUGACUUACGUGAUGAGGAUUGACUGGUUUUCUCUGUCUGUGGACAAAAGAGGUUUUUUUUAAAACAAUUGUAUCCCAACUGGAAACAGCAACUAGAUGAAGUUAAGGUCGCUGACCUGCCAGCAUAUACUGGUAUGCGUUGUCAGAGAUAGAGAAAAUAUGAGGAGGGGCUUCACUCCUCUUCUUUCCUCUGUAGGCCACAACAACUUCCUGGUUGUAGACUGGUAGCCCCUUGUAGGGGUUGACAGUCACACAGAACAGCCCAGAGUAGGUCUGCCAUAGAGAAAGAUGGGAAAGGUUCAAGUGCUGGUGCCUCAUGAAUAUAAGACAUUCAGACAUCAGCCUUACGUAGAUCAUCCAUGCUGCGUAACGCUCUUUGAGGUUAUACAGCACGGCGGGCUCGUGGAGGAAGGUGAACAUGGCCAUGUCUUCAAUCUUAUCGAACUUUGGUGGGUUCUGAGGGUGUACAUCACACUCCUUCACCGUCACUGUCUGCAGAAAUGUUAAUAUACCGUAGAUUAAACCUGUGCAAGUGCACACAACAGUGUACUUUAUAGAUAUGAGGUCAUAUUCACACCUUUCCACCUGCAGUGUUGACAGUGACUUUGUCGCCCUCACGAUUUGUGAUGGAUGCCUUGAUGUACUCAAUUUCUGGAUCAGGGACAAAGCACUCUUUCUUCAUGUCAAAAACACGUGUUUGGGCUUCUAGACGUUCCUUAUCUGACUUUCUCAGGUAUGGAGCUGCAGCUCCAAACUCUGACAUGGCUGCAUCACCCAUGUUUUGGCCUACAAAAAUAAAAAUCUUGUUGACAUAUCACAGCAGCCACAGAAAAUCCUCAUGCUAGAAAAGGUAUGUGAAGGGACUUAGAAUUCAUUAGAUCUGCUUGUCCAUAAACGCAAGGUUGAAAUAUUAAGCUAAACCUCAAUCUUGAUUAUCUAUGCAAACAUUUCAGUGCUUUAAUGAUUUACGAGCCAUGCAGGGUAACUUUAGUAAGAGAGCCUGACUUUUCGGCUCAUGUUUCAGUACCACUUCUGCUUUUUAUGUUCACUGUGUAAAUAUUAACUGUCACGUGGUAGAACUGGAACAUUAUCUUUCCUUGAGUUCCCCAGUAUUUUUGCAAAUCUAAAGGAAAAGUUAUUGUCUAAAAGACAAGACCAAAAACUACUUUACUCUUCACGGCUCCAUCUCAGAACCACCUCACCUGAGUUCAACCCAUCACCGAUUUGUGCUUUGACUAACUCCAACAUGGAUCAAAGGUUUCACUCUAUACAGAAGCCAGAUGCUUUAAUAUAAAACUGUAAAUAAAACCAUGUUAUAGUCAUUAAGCAGUCACCCAAACCAAACAGAAUUUUACCUGAGGUGAGUCAACAAACAGGAAACUUGGAUCUGUGCUGUUUACAUUCAGGACAGGAGACAAAGUGUCACAAAACAUGACGACUUCAUAACUACUCAAGUAAAAGUUAGAUUAAAUCUGGGAUAUAAACAUUAAACACAAAUCUGUACCAGGGUUAUUCAGCUGAGUGGAUCCUUUUCUUACCUUUGACCGUCAACCUUUGUCAAGUGAAAUAAAUGAGCCCAGUGGCUGACACUAGGCGGUCUGUCCAUUAAUAAAGGUUGCAUGUCAACCAAAUAUGGGAAUGAAUAUCAGAGAUGUGGCAUUCAGGUUGCCUAUUACAAAAAGCAUUUUCCAUUCGCUGCUAUUUCUUGCCGUCCCCUUCGUACAACAGCCAGAUGGGACAUGACAAAGCAGGAGGGGGGUGCAGGAGCUGUG